rnacentral:rRNA from 1 species
AUUGAACGCUGGCGGAAUGCUUUACACAUGCAAGUCGAACGGCAGCACGGACUUCGGUCUGGUGGCGAGUGGCGAACGGGUGAGUAAUGUAUCGGAACGUGCCCAGUCAUGGGGGAUAACGUAGUGAAAAUUACGCUAAUACCGCAUACGAUCUACGGAUGAAAGCGGGGGAUCGCAAGACCUCGCGCGAUUGGAGCGGCCGAUAUCAGAUUAGGUAGUUGGUGGGGUAAAGGCCCACCAAGCCAACGAUCUGUAGCUGGUCUGAGAGGACGACCAGCCACACUGGAACUGCGACACGGUCCAGACUCCUACGGGAGGCAGCAGUGGGGAAUUUUGGAAAAUGGGCGAAAGCCUGAUCCAGCCAUUCCGCGUGCAGGAUGAAGGCCCUCGGGUUGUAAACUGCUUUUGUACAGAACGAAAAGGUUUCUACUAAUACUAGGAUCUCAUGACGGUACUGUAAGAAUAAGCACCGGCUAACUACGUGCCAGCAGCCGCCGUAA